AAGGCUAUGCUUUUAGGGAUUGUUUCUCUAGUUGGUGAUUGGAGAAGGGUAGAUUUAAAAGCCUGGCCUUGCUAACCACAAUGAGGAACUGUAGUGUUUCUUUCUGAGCAUGACAAUAGCAGAAAAUGCUGUUCUAUGACUGCUGCUUUUUGCUGUGGAAGAGUGUCUUGCUUUUCCACAAAAGAGCAGAGGAAAGAAACAUAGUCUGAGUGGU